GAUGAACGCUGGCGGCGUGCCUAAUACAUGCAAGUCGAGCGAACGGACGAGGAGCUUGUUUCUCUGAUGUUAGCGGAGGACGGGUGAGUAACACGUGGAAAACCUACCUAUAUGACUGGGAUAACUUCGGGAAACCGGCGCUAAUACCGGAUAAUCUUUUGAUCCGCAUGGUUCAAUAGUGAAAGACGGUCUUGCUGUCACUUAUAGAUGGAUCCGGGCUGGAUUAGCUAGUUGGUAAGGUAACGGCCUACCAAGGCAACGAUGCGUAGCCGACCGGAUAGGGUGAUCGGCCACACUGGAAGUGAGACACGGUCCAGAGGCCUACGGUAGGCAGCAGUAGGGAAUCGGCCGCAAUAGGCGAGAACCUGGCGGAGCGGCGCCGCGUGAGUGAUGGAGGUCUUCGGAUCGUGAAGCUCGGUUAUUAGGUAAGAACAGAUGUGGAAUGAGCUGUGCACAUCGUGACGGUACCUAAUCAGAAAGCCACGGCUAACUACGUG
rnacentral:rRNA from 1 species